rnacentral:rRNA from 1 species
UGGGGAAUAUUGCACAAUGGGGAAACCCUGAUGCAGCGACGCCGCGUGGAGGAAGAAGGUCUUCGGAUUGUAAACUCCUGUUGUCAAGGACGAUAAUGACGGUACUUGACAAGAAAGCCACGGCUAACUACGUGCCAGCAGCCGCGGUAAAACGUAGGUGGCAAGCGUUGUCCGGAAUUACUGGGUGUAAAGGGAGCGCAGGCGGACCGGCAAGUUGGAUGUGAAACCCACGGGCUCAACCUGUGGCCUGCAUCCAAAACUGUCGGUCUUGAGUAGUGCAGAGGUAGGCGGAAUUCCCGGUGUAGCGGUGGAAUGCGUAGAUAUCGGGGAGAACGCCAGUGGCGAAGGCGGCCUACUGGGCACCGAACUGACGCUGAGGCUCGAAAGUAUGGGUAGCAAACAGGAUUAGAUACCCGUGU